CAGCGGAAGGAUCAUUACAGCGAAGCGGCGCGAGCCGCCUUUCGAACCACCGCGUACCGAACCCCCCACGUUGCCUCGGCGGGCGCCGGGCGCCCCGCGCCCGCCCCGCCGAACGGCCCCCCAGCAAGACCCCUUCCGUCGAGAUGGCGUCGUCUGAACCCUCCGGGGAAAACGUUUGAAACGAAAAACACAACUUUCAACAAUGGAUCUCUUGGCUCCGGCAUCGAUGAAGAACGCAGCGAAACGCGAUAGCUAGUGUGAAUUGCAGAUUUCAGUGAAUCAUCGAGUCUUUGAACGCACAUUGCGCCUCUUGGUAUUCCUCGAGGCAUGCCUGUUCGAGCGUCGUUACGCCCCUCAAGCGCGAGCUUGGUGUUGGGGACCGCCCCUGAGACACGGCGGCGGCCCCGGAAUGCAUCGGCGGUGCUGGUCCCAGCCCGGAGCGCAGCAGACAUGCGGCUCCGCGGGCGGGGCCGGCGCCCGCCGGACAAACGACGAGACCCCUCCACAAGUCG
rnacentral:misc_RNA from 1 species